AUUGGUGAAAAACAUAGUGACAACAUCUACUUGGAUAAUGUUAAGGAUCUAAAAUUUAUUAAGAAAGAAAUGCCUUUUUCUGAUAAUCAGAUUGUUAAAAUGCUUGAUGAUAACUUAAAACAUAUUGAAGUCUCUGACUUAAGAAAAACAGAGAUAUAUUUAGAUGAAAUCGAUGAAAAACGUGACUAUUUAAAAAUUGAUGAAUUCUUUGAGUU